CUAAUAACGAUGAAGAGGAAGAGUAUGCGAAUAAAGCUUUUAGAGAGGAAAUCAAAUGCUGAAAGAUUUCUAAGUCAUUUAUCGCAGAAGGUAGCCUUGGAUGUUGUUUAGCUGAACGUCUCUGAUCAGUAGGUUAAACCGGUUUAAAACCGUUAUCAAUCAAUUGAGUGUACAGCUUAUUUAUGCUGUAAACAAAGGUGGUACCACGGAAUGAUCAACCCAAUUCGUCCUUUUU
rnacentral:ncRNA from 1 species